rnacentral:tRNA from 1 species
GCUAUAAUAGUUUAAAUAAAACUUUGGUCUUGUAAACCAAAAUUAGAUCUCUAUAUCUUUAUAGUU